rnacentral:rRNA from 1 species
UGGGGAAUUUGGACAAUGGGCGCAAGCCUGAUCCAGCCAUGCCGCGUGCGGGAAGAAGGCCUUCGGGUUGUAAACCGCUUUUGUCAGGGAAGAAAUCUUCUGAGUUAAUACCUCGGGAGGAUGACGGUACCUGAAGAAUAAGCACCGGCUAACUACGUGCCAGCAGCCGCGGUAAUACGUAGGGUGCAAAGCGUUAAAUCGGAAAUUACUGGGCGUAAAAGCGUGCGCAGGCGGUUUUGUAAGACAGAGGUGAAAAUCCCCGGGCUCAACCUGGGAACUGCCUUUGUGACUGCAAGGCUUGAGUGCGGCAGAGGGGGGAUGGAAUUCCGCGUGUAGCAGUGAAAAUGCGUAGAUAUGCGGAGGAACACCGAUGGCGAAAGGCAAAUCCCCUGGGCCUGCACUGACGCUCAUGCACGAAAAGCGUGGGGAGCAAAACAGGAUUAGAAUACCCCUGGUAGUCCACGCUGUAAAACGAAUGUCGAUUUUGGAGGUUGUGCCCCUUGAGGCGUGGCUUCCGGAGCUAAACGCGUUAAAAUCGACCGCCUGGGGAGUAACGGCCGCAAAGGUUAAAAACUCAAAAGGAAAUUGACGGGGGUCAUAGCUU